GACGGGGGGGGCAAGUGUUCUUCGGAAUGACUGGGCGUAAAGGGCACGUAGGCGGUGAAUCGGGUUGAAAGUGAAAGUCGCCAAAAAAGUGGCGGAAUGCUCUCGAAACCAAUUCACUUGAGUGAGACAGAGGAGAGUGGAAUUUCGUGUGUAGGGGGGUGAAAUCCGUAAAUAUACGAAGGAACGCCAAAAGCGAAGGCAGCUCUCUGGGUCCCUACCGACGCUGGGGGGUGCGAAAGCAUGGGGGAGCGAACAGG
rnacentral:rRNA from 1 species